rnacentral:rRNA from 1 species
GAUGAACGCUGGCGGCGUGCCUAAUACAUGCAAGUCGAGCGAACAGAUAAGGAGCUUGCUCCUUUGACGUUAGCGUCGGACGGGUGAGUAACACGUGGGUAACCUACCUAUAAGACUGGGAUAACUUCGGGAAACCGGAGCUAAUACCGGAUAAUAUUUCGAACCGCAUGGUUCGAUAGUGAAAGAUGGUUUUGCUAUCACUUAUAGAUGGACCCGCGCCGUAUUAGCUAGUUGGUAAGGUAACGGCUUACCAAGGCGACGAUACGUAGCCGACCUGAGAGGGUGAUCGGCCACACUGGAACUGAGACACGGUCCAGACUCCUACGGGAGGCAGCAGUAGGGAAUCUUCCGCAAUGGGCGAAAGCCUGACGGAGCAACGCCGCGUGAGUGAUGAAGGUCUUCGGAUCGUAAAACUCUGUUAUUAGGGAAGAACAUACGUGUAAGUAACUGUGCACGUCUUGACGGUACCUAAUCAGAAAGCCACGGCUAACUACGUG